UACGGGGGGGGCAAGCGUUGUUCGGAAUUACUGGGCGUAAAGGGCUCGUAGGUGGCCAACUAAGUCGGACGUGAAAUCCCUCGGCUUAACCGGGGAACUGCGUCCGAUACUGGUUGGCUUGAGUUUGGGAGAGGGAUGCGGAAUUCCUGGUGUAGCGGUGAAAUGCGCAGAUAUCAGGAGGAACACCGGUGGCGAAGGCGGGUCUCUGGGCAGUAACUGACGCUGAGGAGCGAAAGCGUGGGGAGCGAACAGG
rnacentral:rRNA from 1 species